rnacentral:misc_RNA from 1 species
UCAAACUUGGUCAUUUAGAGGAAGUAAAAGUCGUAACAAGGUCUCCGUUGGUGAACCAGCGGAGGGAUCAUUACCGAGUUUACAACUCCCAAACCCUUUGUGAAUAUACCUUAUGUUGCUUCGGCGGGACCGCCCCGGCGCCCUCGCGGCCCGGACUCAGGCGCCCGCCGGAGGUCCAAAACUCUAUUGUCUUUAGUUUCUCCUCUGAGUGGCAUAAAAGCAAUAAAUAAAAACUUUCAACAACGGAUCUCUUGGUUCUGGCAUCGAUGAAGAACGCAGC